rnacentral:rRNA from 1 species
AUGAACGCUGGCUGCGUGCUUAACACAUGCAAGUCGCACGGAAAGGCUCCUGCUUGCAGGGGUACUCGAGUGGCGAACGGGUGAGUAACACGUGGGUGAUCUGCCCUGCACUUCGGGAUAAGCCUGGGAAACUGGGUCUAAUACCGGAUAGGACCACAUUUUGGAUGGUGUGGUGGAAAGUUUUUCGGUGUGGGAUGAGCUCGCGGCCUAUCAGCUUGUUGGUGGGGUAAUGGCCUACCAAGGCGUCGACGGGUAGCCGGCCUGAGAGGGUGUACGGCCACAUUGGGACUGAGAUACGGCCCAGACUCCUACGGGAGGCAGCAGUGGGGAAUAUUGCACAAUGGGCGCAAGCCUGAUGCAGCGACGCCGCGUGGGGGAUGACGGCCUUCGGGUUGUAAACUCCUUUCGCUAGGGACGAAGCGUUUUUGUGACGGUACCUGGAGAAGAAGCACCGGCUAACUACGUG